CGAGGUUAUAUGAUCGACUGCAUUUAUUUUGCAUAAUCUGUGGGGCACUCGCGUUAUUUCCGAAGAAUCUGCGUAAAUACUAGGGUUUUCAGGAGAUGCAGCGUUUCUGUGUAAUCCUUGUAGAUUUGGCGUCGGUAAUAGGGCGUAUUUAGGUAGCCUCCGAGAAUGCGGCGUAAUCCGAUUGUUUCCGCGUUACCACCCUGUGAUUUCGCGUAAGUACUUGCAUUUAUACGUAAUACUUGUGUAAAUUCCUGUCGGUUUUCGAUAACUCGUAGAUGACCGUGUAGUUCCCGUGUAUUUACAACUGUCGGCUUAUUAAUCGAAGAUAUUACCGAGGUUAUAUGAUCGACUGCAUUUUUUUUUUGCAUAAUCUGUGGGGCACUCGCGUUAUUUCCGACGAAUCUGCGUAAAUACUAGGGUUUUCAGGAAAUGCAGCGUUUCUGUGCAAUCCUUGUAGAUUUGGCGUCGGUAAUAGGGCGUAUUAGGUAGCCUCCGAGAAUGCGGCGUAAUCCGAUUGUUUCCGCGUUACCACCCUGUGAUUUCGCGUAAGUACUUGCAUUUAUACGUAAUACUUGUGUAAAUUCCUGUCGGUUUUCGAUAACUCGUGGAUGACCGUGUAGUUCCCGUGUAUUUACAACUGUCGGCUUAUUAAUCGAAGAUAUUACCGAGGUUAUAUGAUCGACUGCAUUUUUUUUGCAUAAUCUGUGGGGCACUCGCGUUAUUUCCGAAGAAUCUGCGUAAAUACUAGGGUUUUCAGGAAAUGCAGCGUUUCUGUGUAAUCCUUGUAGAUUUGGCGUCGGUAAUAGGGCGUAUUUAGGUAGCCUCGGAGAAUGCGGCGUAAUCCGAUUGUUUCCGCAUUACCACCCUGUGAUUUCGCGUAAGUACUUGCCUUUGUACGUAAUACUUGUGUAAAUUCCUGUCGGUUUUCGAUAACUCGUAGAUGACCGUGUAGUUCCCGUGUAUUUACAACUGUCGGCUUAUUAAUCGAAGAUAUUACCGAGGUUAUAUGAUCGACUGCAUUUUUUUUUUUUUUGCAUAAUCUGAGGGGCACUCGCGUUAUUUCCGACGAAUCUGCGUAAAUACUAGGGUUUUCAGGAAAUGCAGCGUUUCUGUGUAAUCCUUGUAGAUUUGGCGUCGGUAAUAGGGCGUAUUUAGGUGGCCUCCGAGAAUGCGGCGUAAUCUGAUUCUUUCCGCAUUACCACCCUGUGAUUUCGCGUAAGUACUUGCCUUUGUACGUAAUACUUGUGUAAAUUCCUGUCGGUUUUCGAUAACUCGUAGAUGACCGUGUAGUUCCCGUGUAUUUACAACUGUCGGCUUAUUAAUCGAAGAUAUUACCGAGGUUAUUUUAUCGACUGCAUUUUUUUUUUGCAUAAUCCGCGGGGCACUCGUUAUAUCCGACGAAUUUGCGUAACUACUAGCAUUUUCAUAAAGUCCGGCAUUUCUGCGUAACCUACAGAUUUUACAAAAAUCUAAGUACGCAAUCUACAGCGUGGGACAUAACCCCACUGUCUUCGCUUUACCAUCCGGUGAUUAGAAGUAUUUGUCCGUUUUCUUUUUAGGUAAUCCCUCAGUUUUUCAAUAAUUCCUAACGUACCGACGUAGUUCCUAGGUUUAUCAGCAAUACCCAGGUUAUUUUCUUAGAUACUAGCGAGGUUACUUAAACGAUAUUUUUGUCCUCCGAGCUUUCUCCGUAAUAUCAUUUUUUUCCGCAUAACCAUCUCGUGAUUUCGCUCAAGUAUAUUGUUUUUCCGUAAUGGAUGUCGAUUUUUCCUAACUCCUAGAUGACCGUGUAAUUUCCAGGAUAUCUGUAACGAUCAGCUUAUUAAUUCUAGAUAUUAACGAGGUUAUUUAGUCGAUAGCAUUUUUGAAUAGUCCCUGAGGCGGUUGCAUUAUUUACGUAGACUAUACGAACUACCAGCAUCUUUAUAAAGCUCAUCGUUUCUGGGUAACCCUUACAGAUUUUGGCUUAUCCGACUGGCGAUUUGAAGUUAUCCGUAGUACCCAUCUUAUUUCCCUAGAUUCUAGAGAGGUUACUUAAACGACAACAUCGUUGCAUAAUCCCAGGGGCAUAUUCGUUAUUUCCUACGAAUCAAGUAACGACCAGCGUCUUCAUAAAGUGCAGCAUUUCUGUAUAUCCUCAUAGAUUUGUCGUCAAUCCUAGAACGUAUUUAGGUGGCCUCCGAGCGUCAGGCGUAACGUCAUAGUGUCCGCAUAAGCGAAUAAAUUUGUUUUUACCUAA